UGCCGCGUGUGCGAAGAAGGCCUUCGGGUUGUAAAGCACUUUUGUCAGGGAAGAAAUCUUUUGGGCGAAUACCCCGGAAGGAUGACGGUACCUGAAGAAUAAGCACCGGCUAACUACGUGCCAGCAGCCGCGGUAAUACGUAGGGUGCAAGCGUUAAUCGGAAUUACUGGGCGUAAAGCGUGCGCAGGCGGUUCGCUAAGACAGUCGUGAAAUCCCCGGGCUUAACCUGGGAACUGCGAUUGUGACUGGCGAGCUAGAGUACGGCAGAGGGGGGUGGAAUUCCUGGUGUAGCAGUGAAAUGCGUAGAGAUCAGGAGGAACACCGAUGGCGAAGGCAGCCCCCUGGGCUAGUACUGACGCUCAUGCACGAAAGCGUGGGGAGCAAACAGGAUUAGAUACCCUGGUAGUCCACGCCCUAAACGAUGUCGAUUAGUUGUUGGUUCUUCAUUGAAUCAGUAACGAAGCUAACGCGUGAAAUCGACCGCCUGGGGAGUACGGUCGCAAGAUUAAAACUCAAAGGAAUUGA
rnacentral:rRNA from 1 species